rnacentral:lncRNA from 1 species
UGCCCAUACAUUAACAACCACACGAGUGUUUCUUAGAAUAUCAUAGCCAGCAACUCUGCAAUCAUCUCUAGCAACCCGAGGAAGAAGCAAUGGUGCCACAGGGUGGAGACGCAUCGUUUCUUUAACAAUUGCUUCUAUAUAUGGAAGGUUAACAAUGUCCUUUUCUUCUACCCAUCUGUCUUUCCCAAUCACUCUAUCUAGUUCUUCAGUCGCCUUUUGAAUAGCUUCUGGAUUUUUCAAGAGCUCUGACAUUGCCCAUUCCACGCUGAUUGCCGAUGUGUCAGUUCCAGCAGUUAAUAGAUCCUACGAAUCAAAAUGAAAAAAGAAUUAUGAUGAUACAGAUUUCCAAUACAGAAGACACCUUGAUAGUUGCAUUAUUUGGUGAUGUUUAAAUUACUCUGUGGGGAAACUAUUGCCUCAAUCAUUUAAAAACCAAAUUAUUUUCUGUUUUAUUGCACAUAUCAAUUUAGUACGUUAUACUUAAAAGAGUUAAUUUCCAUUAAUCACUAGAUAAAUUGGUAGAUUUUAAUUUAUCCCCAAGCUGUUAAAAACAUCAAUGUAGCCCUCAUUUAUCAGUACACGAGAAUGAAAUUCUUUCUCGAUCCUCUUGGUUCUCAAUAGUAAACCAUGAGAAAGGGUUAUUAUUUUCAAAAGAUUUGGAAAAUAAAUUGAAAUAUGUCAUACUUGAAAACUACUAUUUAGUUUUUUUAAAAAAGUACACGAAUUAAAUUCAAAUUUAUGAAUACGUUACUACUUCACGAGUUUUUACUAGUACACCGAACUUCAAAUUUACCUGGAUUAGUGCCUUUAUAUGUUCUCUUUCAAGCUUAACUUCAAGAGAAGGAUCAUCCGCAAGUUGCAUAAGAACAUCAACCAUAUCAUGAACCCCAUAAUCCUUAACUGAUUUUCUCCUCUCAUGGUGCUCAUCUAAAAUACCCUCGUAAAAUUUAUCAAGCUUCUUGCUCACAUCCUUCAUUCUCUUAACAUGCCCUUGUAAAUCAAAAGAAGCAAGCCAUGGAAUUGAGUCCCCAAUAUCCAAAAUACCAAUAAGCAAGAACAAUUCUUCAAUCAUUUCCGUGAAGUCUUUUGGAGUCACAGUAUUUUUUUCAGCUUCGUCCGUAUACCUUUUCCCCAACACCAUCCGACAAAUCGAAGUAAGAUUGAGUGUGUAGAGACGAUCUUUCAGAUGAACAGGUGUGGAAGCUGAUUUGAACAACUCCGAGAGGAAAGCAUUUCUUUCUUCUACCCUUAUGUACUCAAACUGAUCCAAGCGUUUUGCACUGAGAAGUUCCAUUAGGCAGAUUUUGCGAGCCUGGCGCCAAUAUGGGCCAUAGGGUGCGGUUGACAUUGCUGAGUAAUUGUAAGUUGUGUACUUCCCAGCAAGAAGAGCUGGCCUUGAAGCAAAGCUAAUGUCAUGAGUCUUGAGCAGAAGCUCUGCUACUUCAGCUGAUGAGCCUACAACAACCGGGGAGAGGCCGAAUUUUAGGUGCAUAAGGGGGCCGUAUUUUUGGGAGAGAGAGUGGAUGGAGACGUGAGGGAGAGGGCCGAUGAGGUUCAGGUUUCCGAUCAAUGGCCAUGGCCUUGGACCCGGUGGCAAGUUUAGUUUACGGGAAAAUUGGCGGUGAAACAAGAAGAGGACGAUGGGGAGGAAGAAGAGGAUUGAGUAAAAUAUAGCUGAGUUUGAAGGACCAGUCAUAGGAUUUUCCAUUAUUUUGGAUAAACUGUAAAAGGUGGUGACGAUGAUUUGAUUAUUGUGUCUGUGAAAGUGGAAGUGAAAGAGGUAUUUAUAAUGAUAUAAACAAGGAAGAGUAAAAUAAUCCCAUUCCAUUGUAGAUUUGAAAAGCAUAAGCAAGGGAUAGUUUGGUACUUUUAUUAAAGAAUAAUUUAUUUUUUCAAUUCUAACUUUUUUUUUUGAAAGAGAAAGUAAAGCUUUCAUUAAGAAUCAAUAGCGAGUAACAACAAAAUCUCAUCUGGGUAAUUUCCCAGCCAAACAGCAGAACUUACAUACUCUAAAGCUUUCUUUGCUAGCCCAUGAGCAAUACGAUUGAAAGAUCUUGAAACAUGCUGGAUUUGCACCCUACCUAGCCUCUUUAAGCUAUCUUGAAUUGUGGCUAUCUUCCAGAAGAUUUCCGUUCUGCUUCCUUUUCUGUUACAAGCAAGAUCAACCACCUCUUUUGAAUCUGACUCUAUGAUCAUUGGCAGAAAAUUUGUAUUUUGAGCCACCUGGAUGCCAAAAUUGAUUGCCUCUGCUUCCAUGCAGUCGACAUCCCCUUUGUAAAUGGUAUUCUGAACAGCUGCUGCUACAACCUUUGCUCUCGAGUCUCUGAUAACCACUCCGAGGCUUGCUGUCUGAUUUGAGGGUCUGAUGGCAGCAUCCACAUUCACCUUAUACCACCCAUUUGGAGGAGGUAGCCAUGUUUGUUGGUUGUUGCUCUGGUUCUGUGAAACAAUUUGGGUAGCUGGGAUUUUAAUCCUUCUGUAUGACUCUACAACUGCUGCAGCCCUUCCCACUGAUAUUUGAGCAUCUUCUUCUUUCCCUUUGAAAAUGAAUAGAUUUCUAGAAGACCAAAUUGACCAGCAUGUAGCAAUAAUCAGUUCCAUGUCCUUCAUACUCGCAAUUUUCCCCAUCUCCUGGAGGGUGCUUAAUAAAUCCUGUUGAGCCAACAUCUUCAUGUUCUGGUGAAAAUCAGUCAAUUUCCAGACCUUGUUGGCAUACUUGCAUCCAAUUAAGGAAUGAAAACCAUCUUCCUUCUCCUUACUACAUUUGCCACACAUUGGUUCCUUUAUGGCCUUUCUUUUCCAGAGGUUAUAGGCUGUUGGAAGCAUAUUCUGAGCUGCUCUCCACAUGAAAAUUUUAAUCUUUUCCGGGAUCUCCAUUGACCAAAUAAUCUUCCAAUGAGUUUUUGAUAAAUCUGAGCUGCUGGCCAAAUCUGGGGAUUUCAGUAUUAGAGAUAACUGAUACCCACUCUUAACAGAAUAAUUACCAUGCUUGUCAAAAUGCCAUAUCAAUUGAUCCAAUUGAGGAGAACUUGGAAGAAUGAUUCUUUUUAUUCUUGCUACAUCCUCUUCUGAAAAAUUAUGAGAAAUCACAUCUUCCUUCCAGGUUUGGUUGCUGAUCAGAUUAGCUACCACAGAAUUUGGGUGUAAUGUCUGGAUGGACAGAGGCUUUAGAUUUUCAGGCCUUGGAAUCCAGUUACUCUUAUAAACAUACACUUGCUCUCCGUUGCCGAUCCUCCAUCUUGAGCCUUUGUGAAUAAUCUGCCUGCCCCAAAGAAUGCUUCUCCACACAAAAGAUGGAUUUGCACCUAACUUUGCAUCCAUAAAACUGGAAUUCUUAAAGUACUUAGCCUUCAACACCCGAGCCAUCAAAGCCUCUAGAUUUUGAAUAAGUCUCCAGCCUUGCUUUGCAAUUAAGGCUUGAUUAAAGCAUGAGAAAUCUCAAAAUCCCAGCCCUCCUCUUAUCUUGGCUUGGCAUAGUCUCCCCCAUUUUGCCCAGUGAAUGCCUCUGUGCUUUCCUGCGGAACUCCACCAGAAUUUUGCUACAGCUUUUUGAAUGUCAUCGCAAAUGCUUUGAGGUAUUUUAAAUACACUCAUAACAUAUGCCGACACCGCUUGAGCCACAACAUUUAUGAGCACUUCUUUUCCCCCACAAGAAAAAAAUUUGCUUUCCCAACUGGUUAACUUAUUAAGCACCCUUAGCUUGGCAUAGUUAAAAAAAUUGGUCUUUUUUCUUCCCACCAUAGAUGGCAAUCCCAGGUACCUCUCAUGUCUCGAAACAACGUUCAAGUUAAAAAUGCUUCCUAUUUCAUCCAUUUGGCUCUGCUUUGUGUUGGUGCUGAAAAAUAUUGAAGACUUCUCAAAGUUGAAUAUCUGUCCCGAAGCAGCAGCAUACAUUUCAAAGAUCUUCUUUAGGUGCCUGCAGUCUACACUGGAAGCCCUUGAGAAAACCAAGCUGUCGUCUGCAAAAAGGAGAUGAGAAAUAGACAAAUUUCUACUGAACUUCAGCCCCUGGAUCGGCUUUUGUUUUUCAGCCUGCAUGAGUAAAUUCGAGAACACCUCUGCACAAAUGAUGAAUAAAUAUGGUGAUAAUGGGCAGCCUUGUCUUAAACCUCUUUGAGGAUAGAUUAAACCUUUCACCUCCCCAUUAAUCAAAACUGAAAAGCUUGCUGUGGAUAUACAGUUCAUGAUCAAGUUCACCCAAUUUGCCGAGAAGCCUAGCUGCUGCAUUGUGGUUUUCAAGAAAUUCCACUCAAUUCUAUCAUAGGCUUUGCUAAUGUCUAGUUUGAGCGCUACCAACCCAUAUUUUUUACCCCUACUUUGCCUAAUUUUGUUUAGGCAUUCAUACUCGAUUAUUACAUUAUUCGUAAUUAGCCUAUUCGGGAUAAAAGCGCUUUGAGUUGGAGAGAUAAUAGUAUCCAAAAUUUGCUUUAACCUAUUUGCCAAGGUUUUUGCCACAAUCCUAUAAAUAACAUUACAAAGGCUAAUUGUCCGGAAAUCAGUUACUUUCCUAGGAUUUUGUAAUUUUGGAAUCAAGGCAAUGUAAGUAUGAUUUAAAUGAGCGAUACUACCUCCCUCAUUUAGGAUGUGCAGGCAGGUAGUGGUUACACCUUCCUUGACUGAGCUCCAGUGCUUAUGAUAAAAGGCUGCUGGGAGACCAUCCGGGCCUGGAGCUUUGGUGGGGCACAUCUGAGCAAGAGCCUCUGCUACUUCCUCGGCAGUGAACUGUUGAUCCAGAAAGCAAUUCGUUUCUUCCGUUACUCGCUUUGGUAGUUCUGCUACGGCUGUCUCCAGCUGAGUUUGGGAUGGAUUCGUUGUGCUGAAAAUGUUUGCAAAAUAAUCACACAACAAUCUUUCCACUUCUUCUGCUUCCUCUUUCCAUAAUCCAUCUUCAUCCUCCAGCCCCAUUAUCUUAUUUUUUCUUUUCCUCGCCGAUGCCUUAGCAUGAAAAAAUUUAGUAUUUCUAUCCCCUUCUCUCAGCCAAUCCGCCCUCGAUCUCUGCUUCCAGAAGAUUUCUUCGUCAAUUAGAAUAUUAUCAAUCUGUCUUUCUAUGUUUUUGACUUCUAAUCCGCUGUCAUAAUGGCCAUAGUUCUGUCUGAUUUCCUUUAACCUCUCCUUCAGCUGCUUCAGCCUUUUUUGUCUGCCCUUGAACUCCUCGUUACUCCAUAGCUUGAGUUCAGCUAGUGACUCCUUUGACUUCCUUUGAAACAGAUCAACAGGAUUUCCCCUGUCCCAACAGCUUGAUUCCUUCCACUCUCGCUUAACUAUUUCUCUACAUUUCUCAUAUGGGCUCCACAUAUCUUCAUAAUGAACUCUGCGGAAAGUUCUUCUGGAAUACCUCAAACCACUUCCUUUUUCCAGCACUUCCAUAAGAAUUGGGUUGUGAUCGGAGCUCCAAGUCACUAGAUUCAUUGCUGCUUUCUCCUGGAAAUAAUGGCCCCAACUCCUACUGCAAAGAAAUCUAUCUAAUCUCUCUUCAAUCAACCCAACACCAAACCUCCUAUUUGACCAAGUAAAGGGAUACCCCGUAAAUCCCAUAUCUAUGAAAUCACAUUCCCUAACCGCUUCUCUAAAGUCAGCCACCGAGUUAACUUGUUUCUCAUUUCCUCCUAGCUUUUCAUUUAAAUUUAAGACUUCAUUAAAGUCCCCAAAACAGAGCCAGGGUAAAGAAGAUAACGUUGCUAACCUUCUCAACAAUUUCCAAGUAUGCUAUUUUUGAGCUGCUUCUGGAUGACCAUAUAUACCCGUACAUCUCCAAUAACUCCCCUUCUCACUAUAGACCACAGCAUCAAUAUGAUGACAACUGAAGGAUUUUAUUUCCACUGUUAUCUCCGAAUUCCAUAGCAUUGCCAAACCUCCCCCCAUUCCUUCUCUACUAACUGCAAAAUAGUUUGCAAAAUGCAGCUCGUAACUCCUUUUUCUCAUUUGCUCCCUCGUCAUUUUCGUCUCGCAAAAAAACACAAUUUGGGGCUUGUGCUCAUGGACUACCUCCUGAGCUUCUCGGAACGUCCGGUCGCUCCCCAAUCCCCGAACGUUCCAGCUUAAGAUCCUCAUGGCUAUCGGCGGGGCUGGUUUUCAGCCACCGCCGAUAAUUCAUUGACACUACAUGCAACUGCUUCCAUCUCUUCAUCCUCUAGCCUCAAUGUUGUAGCUUCUGUAAUGUUUAGUUGAGCUCGUUGAUGACAGCCAUAUUUUUUUGGGGUACUUCCUUUGAGCUUCUUUGAGUUUGGGCUUUCCAAAUUUAGCCAGCUAACCGACCUUUUUCCUUUUGUUUGCCCAUCUUUUGUUCCCCAUUUUCCUUCAUAAUUUCGUGCAUGAUACUUCCAUUUCCGUCUUUUGGGCCUAAGCUUUUCAUCCUUUAGCCCAUUGUUGCCAUCUUCGGCCUCUGACUCUAUUUGAAAGGAAAGCCCACUUGCCUUUUGUUUUUGCUCUAAACUUUCUAAUUUCCAGAUUUUUCCUUCCACUUCCCGCUCACCAUUUCCCGCUUCUUCUUCCACUAAAUUCAUGUCUUGUUGUAAUUUCUUUCCCGCCCAAUUUGUCCCUUUCCCAUGAACUGCAAUUUUGUCAGCCUGCUGCUCUGACCCUAAAUAGCUAUUCUCUAGCUCUCUGAGAUUUGCUGCUGCUUGUAUUAAAUGAUCAGCAUCACCUCCUUUACCCAUUUUUUUCUCUAAAGAAGGAUUAUCCAUACCCGAAUCCGUUUGGUUCUGGAUCAGAUUCCCUUCCACUUCUGCCCCUUUCUCCUCUACCUCACUUUGUCUCCUUUAUUUGAUCUGUAGUAGUUCAUUGUUUACUCCAGCUGAAUUUUUGGCAUUGAAUUGGCUGGAUUCUGUGCUCCAUCGAUCCUGUCCUCUACUUUGUCUUAGCCGUUUUGCCAUGGUUGUUGCUUUUAGCCAUGGGCCAUAAGCUAGCUGAUCUUUGGGUUGAGACUUAUAAUGACCACACUCUCUAUAUUGAUGACCGAUACGCCCACAGCAGAAGCAAAAAUCAGGGAGCCUUUCAUACUGCACCAGCAUUGGGAUCUCUUCCUUCUUCGUUUUUCUCAUCCCAUUUCUCCAUCUGUUCCAGCACAACAAUCUUCUUUAAUGGCUUUGUGAUGUCCACCGAAAUCCUCAUUCGUAAGAAUUUUCCUAUACAUUCCCCCGCUGCAUCCGUUUCAACUUCCUCUACUCUUCCGAUUGCUCCACCCAAUUCUGCAGCUGUCUCUUUUUCCAUACACAUAAUUGGAACAUCAUGUAGUUGUACCCAAAAGGAUACAUGAUUGAAGUUUAGUUUCUUAAUGUCACCAAUUCCAGAAGGUUCGAUAAGCACGAUAAGUGCUCUGUCAAAAUGCCAUGGUCCACCCGCUAGAAUUCUUCUUUUAUCUUCAUUUGAUCCAAACUUGAACAUGAAAAUAUUAUCACCCAGUCCUUCAAUUUUGACUUCCUUGCCUGUUCUCCACACCUGUUGCAUUGCUACUCUCAAUCUUUCUACUUUGACUUCUCUUGAUAAGAAUAUUUUUCCGACCAAACAGCCUGUUAAUAUCUUUUCCCCUUUUGUUUUCAUUCUGCUCCUAAACGUGACUUUCCCUUCUUCUUCUUCACUUAGCUGGAUGGCUCUGCACCGCUUAAUUAACUCAUCUGUAUCCAUUUGCUUUAGCCGCCAGUAAUUAAGAACUGCAGCCAGUGGUUGGACACCAAACUCCUUAAAACUUUCUACCCAAAUCCUGCAACUCCUGCUUCUAAAAUUAAUCUAGAAUACUUCCUCUGAGAGCAUUAAAACCAACGAAAGUCAAAGACAGUUCAAAGAGCCACACUCAUGACGAGAGACUAAAGUUAGAGUCAUGACAACUCUGUUUACCACUCCCAUCCUUUUGUUUUCAGAGAAAACUUCAGGAGGGAUCUUUUUUCCCUACUCAAUUUUAAUGUUUUUGGUUGGUGGUCGUCAGCUCAUUAUAUAUAGAUGUAUAAAAUUUAAAUGACAUAAACGUGCUCUACAGAGUUAGGCAUGCACGUGUAACACAACAUUUGUUACUACUUAUUAGACGACCUUAGUCCAGAUACUAAGCACUUCCUAUUUCAGCUUCUAUUUUAGGCUGGAGUAAAAUUUGAAAUGCUCUUGUAUUUAUUCUUUCAAAAACUUUUGACCCCACACUCAAUAUUUUUGUUAUAAUUCGGUUCGCUUACGAAUUCGGGUUGGUAUGAAAUAAUAUAACAAGUAAGAACUGUGAAAGUUGUAAUAUAGUUGCUUGGUUGUUGAGAAAAAAAAAGAAGAAAAUAAAGGGAAAAAUGAAAUUGAAAUAAAAGAGUUGUAUUAUUAUUACACGCAACUGUACAUAAGCGAAUUGUAUUUAUAUUGUAUCAAUGUAACUAACUUGUUAAUAACAAAUUUAUUAGCUUACCAAUAGUAGAAUGACAAAUGUAUAAUCUUAAACAAACUUGAGCCAUGCUGACUAACUAACUAAUGAAACUUGCUGAGCUUUAGCUGCUAAGCAUGCUAGAACCUUCUAAAUCAUGUUGGAACCUUCACAUCCCCCCUCAAGUACAACAUUGGAAACAAUGUUGAGCUUGGAAUGAAGAUAGUAAAAUGGCUGAAAGGGUAAGGCUUUAGUGAAAAUAUUUGUUGUCUGAUCAAGGCUGGGAAUGUUUGAAUGUGCAAGCUUUUGUUAGCUACCUUUUCUCGUAAAAAAUGAACAUCAAAUUCAAUGUGUUUAGUUUGAGAGUGAAAUUUAGGAUAGCUGGCUAGAGUUAUGGUACUUUGGUUAAAAUACCAAAUAACAUGGAUAAAUGUAGGAGAAACAACAAGUUUAGUAAGGAUCUAAUCUAGAGCACUUUUGAGGUUGCUAUAGCAAGGGCACUAUACUCAGACUCAUUGUUGGACCUGGAAACUACAGGCCGCUUUUUAGAACACCAUGAGACCAGAUUACGUCCUAAAUAGACAUAAUAGCUAGCAACUAAUCUUUCAUUAUCUUUAUCAAUUGCCCAAUCUGCAUUUGAAAAACAUUCAAGAUAAAGUGAACCUGAUAAGUAGAAAAAAAGAUCAAGAUUAAUGGUGCCUUUAAAAUAUCUCAACACCCUUUUGCAAGCUUGCCAAUGGACCUCAAUAGGUGUACUAAGGAAUUGACCGAGCUUAUUAACAAAAAAUGCAAUUUCCGGUCUUAUGAGACUGACAUUUUAAAGAGCACCAAUUGUGCUUCUGUACAAGCUAACAUCUGAGAAUGAAACACCAUUAGUUUGAGUUAAAGGAUUCCCAGAAGCCAUAGGAGUAGCACAUGGUAUGCUAUCUUACAUAUUGACUUUGGCAAGUAGAUUAGCUACAUAUUUGGAUUAAGAAAGAAGCAAGCCAGAAGUAUUUUGAGUAACUUGAAUACCCAAUAAAUAAUGAAGAUCUCCCAAAUCCUUCAAGGCAAAUGUUGAUUUCAAAUCAGUGAUAAUUUGAACAAUUAAAGAAUGACUGGAUCCAGAUAAUAUCAUCAACAUAUAACAGGAGAAGAGUGAGCUGGUUAGCUUGUCUUUUAAAGAAUUGGAGUUAGAGAAACCCCACUGAGUAGUUAAAGCUAGUUUAAAUCUUUCAAACCAGGUUCUUAGGCUUGUUUAAGCCCAUUUCAAGCUUUAUGAAGCUUACACACAUGAGUAGGUCGAGCUAGAUCGACAAAACCUUCUCUUUGUUGUGUGUAUCAUAUUCAUGACCCCUUAUUCUCUUUUGAAACUGCAAAAUGAUUCAAGGUGGCAUGUUAAAUGAAACAUUCUUAUAAAGAGCUCCACUAUUAGUUGGAUUUUAUUUCUACUCCUUAUAUUAGCAUGUGAACAUUAAGUCAUUAACAUAAUAUAGAACUUAGAACUUUCGUUAUGCAAUAUUGGGCCCUUGAGAGUUUCAGAGUUUUCAACCCUUAACAAUUUGUGUUUUAGAGUAGGAUAACCUGAUGAGUAAAAAUGAUUAAUAUUUUUCUCAAAAGAUGUAUAGUGAGAGUAAUUUUUUUUUUUUUUUUUUGGGUAGGUUUUUCCAGAUUGGCUCUAUUUUUCUUGCUCUGCAUGAUGCAAGUGAUGUUUUUAUGGAAGUUGCCAAAGUUUUUAAGUAUUUUGAGAAUGAACUUGGAGCAACUGUGAUCUUUGGAUUAUUUGCAAUAUCUCGGGUCAUUCUACAAUUAAUAUUCUUUUCCUUUCGGGUCAUCAAAUGUACAAGGUUUGCCUGCAUGAUAAAUGAUGUGAUGCCACUUUAUGUGGUCGUCUAGCAGUUUCUUUGGCUUAUUUGCUUUUGUGAUUUGCAUUUUCUAGCUAUGAUCUUUAGUUCUACUUGAACUUAUCAGAGAUAUGUUCAUUUACUACAUGUUCAAUACAAUGUUGCUGAUGCUCUUUGUGUUCCAGAUAUACUGGUGGGUUCUCAUAUCCUCAAUGAUCUGGAGACGGCUGAAAAGUGGUAAACUUAGGGAAGACAUAAGAUCUGGUAAGCAUUUUGAUGCUUCCAUUAUCAGUUUGAAUCAUUUAAUGUCAUCAAUUAUUCCCAGUAGUCUUUCUCAAAUAAUCAUUGUUUUUGCUUUGAUAGUCUGCAGGAAACUUGAUCCCAUAUAAUAGUUUUGCUAGAACUUAAUUAGUUAUAUUCAUAUGUGCCUAAGCCUUAGCCAUAUUUAAGUUCUUGUUUCAAAACCCAGAUAUAAUGAACUUAUAAUUGGAUAUUAAUUGUAAAUCAAACAAAAGGGUAAAGGAAUUAAUUAGUUAUAUUCACAUAUGCCUAAGCCUUGAAGGAAAGUUAACUGCCUUUAUGGGUACCCUUUUGGUUCCACAUUUUAUUGCAGCAAAGAAUUAAUUUAAGUUACAUCAGAAACUUGGAGUUUUACUUCAAUAGAUAAUUAUUUAUAAUGAUACUAUUGGCUAUAGUCAAUUGGUGUUGCACCUGCAGGUUGAGAGAAAUUGCUGGACUUAAGAGUUUUGCUGGGUAUUUGUUGAGAAUGAGAGUUUAUCUACUGGAAUUUCACUGAGAAUAUGGGAGGUGUUUUGCACUACAAGAUUUGACGGCUUCAUAGCUUGUAAAAUUUAAAGCAUUUGCUCGAGUUAACUUUUUUUUAUUACUUUGGAUGUGUUAAUUUUUGGAUACAAGUGUUUUUGGAUGAUAUUAUUAAUAUAAAGCGUUUUUAGACUUGAUAGAAUGUAUAGUCUAAUUUUUGGUUUAUAUUGAAUUUGUGAUUAAAUUCAUAUGCAAGAAUGCAUAGAUUUAAAUAAAAUAAUUCAGAAUUUCUUUUAAUAUAAAUUUAGAUCCUGUGACAAAAAAAUCAGUCAUAAAUUAUGUCACAAACAAAAUAAUUAAUGAUAAAAAAUUUCAAUCAUUAAUUCCAUCACAAACAAAAUAGUUUACCCACUAAAAUUAUUGGAUAAUAAUUUACGUGUAAAAAAUAAUUUUCUAGCUAAAAUUUAAGAUAAAAAAUUAAUUAAAAUAUUCAUUUUUAAGAUGACAAACAUAUGACUUCGAAACACUAUAAUAAAUUAUUGACAUGCUUUUUCUUUAUCAUAAAAGAGUAACAAGUACAUAGAUAAUAGAUAAAUUCACUGUCAUCUACCUCCCUUUAUGAUAAUUUUUUUCAGUCAUCUAUUGUUAGUUUUCUUAUAGUGUAAAAUCUUAAAUUAUAUUACUGUUUAAAAUAAAAGCUUAAUUCCUUUGGAAUAAAUUAUUCGGUCCCCUGUGAAUGAUCAUCUUAAAAUUGAAUUCGUUCUUGCAAAAUGAAAAUUUCUCUUCGACAUUGGUGGGCGGAAAAUCUGAUCCCUUAAUCACUUAUUUUAGUUCUUUACAAUAGCCCAUCCAAUUGAUUCAUCCCUGGAGAAAACUUACUCACAAAAGUUGGAUUGGAAUAUUUUAAUAUAACGUAUACCAUGAUUUAAGCUCUAACAAUUCAAUUAUUACAUGCACAAUCACUAUGGAGGUCUGAAACUGGAACUCAUAAGACAAAUUAAUGUUGACGACGAAUCGCUAUCCAACCAAAUAAAAUUUCAUCGUUUGAUGUGCUAAGUUUCAAGAGCAUAGGAAAAGAUUAAAAGCUCUACUGACUAAUUUUCUUAAGGUACAAGAACAUGUUUAUACAUGAGUAGAGGAAUUAUCUAUGGAAGAAACGUAUUUGAUGUAGUGCGGAAGCGAUACUAGAUAUUGUUUUAGCGUACGUUCUUGAAAUUGAAGAAAGAAUAACUCUCUAGGAGAGAAAUCGUCGAAUUAAUGAUAAGAUAAACUCAGAGAAUAAACUGAAAUAUUAUUGAUAAAAGGUUUAAAGGUGUUAUAAUAAACUACCAAUAACAAUAGUAUUUUUACUAUUAGCUAAUUUAAUCCUAAUCAUUCUCAUCUAAGAGAAAUAAUAUGAAAUCCUAAUUAAAUUAGAAUUACAAAUACGAUCCAAAUAAGUAUAAUAAAACAAGUUAAAUUUAAUAAAAUACUAAAGAAUAAAUUAACUCAAAAUUUAGAAUUCCUAACUUAUUCUGUCCCAUAUGCUUCCCACAUCAAUCUCUACAUCUUCGAAAAGAACAUCCUCGAGUUUUGCUGAAAACAGAAAAUAAUCUGGAGGAUAAAAUUUGUGGUGAAGAAGUAAUUGAUCUUGUAACGUGAACUUGUAGCACUUUGCAUCAACUUUUCUUGAAAUUCGAAAGUACCAAAACUUCAAUUUCUUCUUAAUUUUGAGUAUGGCUCUUCUAAAAUAUGCAAACUUGUACGAACAAACCAUUAGAAUUUCCUUUUAACUUUCUCUAUGCUUUGCUCAAUGUAUUUUUCAUUCAAUUUCUCCUUCUGAACUAAAUCUUCUUUAAGCACAAAUUUAUCUUCAAUGUAGAUACAGAUAACCAUAUCAAUUAUAUCAGUUCUUCAAGAACAAUUUGCUUAGCUCCAUGAAUAAUUGAUAAAACUAUAUCAACUUUAUCACCUUCAAGAACAAUUGUUGUCUUUUCACCUAGAGCUUGUUGCACAAUUUUAACUAUAUCAUUAGAUAUAAAACUCAAAUCAAGAAUGGAUUGUACCUCUUUAUUGGAAACUUCAUGUUUAUUUAGAAUCUUUUCAAAAGAAGAUUUUGUGACAUUCUUCUUUUCCAAUGAUGAAAUCGAUAAAACUUUAUCUUCCACAUUUAUAUCUUCAACUUCAAAAUCUUGGAUAAAUUCUUUCUUUUUACUUAUUGCAAUAGUUGAAUCUUGAAUAAUCAAUAUAUCUUUAAUAACUUCUAUUUCAAGCACAACAUUUCUUUUUAUGUCCAAACUAUCAACCUCAAGAGUGAAAGAAGGUUGCUCUUCAAUAAUAGAAUCCUUCGGUGAUGAGAUUUUCACUAUAGGAUCUUGCUUCAACGAAGAACUAUCUUAUUUUAGAACAAAUUGUACGAGACUCUUGAUCUUUUUGUCUUUGAUUGUCACCAUGCUCUUGCACUCAUUCAAAUCUCUUCAAUGCUUGCUUUCUCUCUUUCUUGACCUGCAAUUCGACUUUAAAAGUAAAUUUAAUGACAUACCAAUAUUCAUGAGUAUGAUCAAUUUGGAACAAACUCAUUCUUUAGUAUUAGCAUGUAAUCUUUUCACAAAUCUUGAAAUUGUAUUUCAUUAUCUUUAAAAAGAUUCACAUGACAACGAUAAUUUUGAAGUUGAGAUUCAUAAAAUCAAACAUAAUUUGUAUCUUGUUGACGCUUAUCAAAUUUACGAUGGAUUGUUUGAAAAUAUUCAAGAGGUAAAAAAUAAGUUUUUGUCUUCCUUUUCAUGUUAUGCCAAGUUCAAGUCUUGUCUCUUCCAUAUUGAAGUCGUUUUGCUUGUAAAUUUGUCCACCAUUGCGAUGCAUGUCCGAUUAAUUUAAAUGAAACAUACUCAACAUGUGUAUCCUAUAGAAAGAAUAUCUUCAAGAGUAUCUUCAAUUUUGAAAAUCUAAUUGAAAAUAUCCCAAGAAUUAGUUAAUCCAUCAUAAUAGAAAAAGAUCAUUGUCAUCUUUUCUAUAUCUCAAUGUACCACUUUUGUUUUUAAAUUUUCUCUUUUUUCUUUUUUGUUUUGGGGUCUUUUAUAAGAACAGAAAUAUUAAAAGGAUAAUAAUGUAAUUAAAAGAAAAUAUUAGGCAAAACUUAUAAAUAAGUUAAAAUAUGGAUUUACCGGCGAUGAUGAUUGGAAAAGGAAAGGUAUAUCUAGAAGAGUUGAUGAUGGUGAGUGUGAUGGUGGUGGUGGUUUCACUCGGAUCAUGAUAGUUGAUCAGAAAAUUGAAGUGAUUGGAGGUAUGUUUUGGUUUUCGGUGAGUGGGGUGCGGUUGGCAGAGGGAUUUGGUUGAAAAAAGAGGUCUGAUGAAGGGAAGUAAUUUGGUUCUGGUGGUGGCUGGUAAAUGGGAUGGACAACAUCGAAACGAGAAGUGUUUGGUGUGGCAUUUUAACGACUCUUUUGGGUAGUUUUCAGCGGCUGAAAUGGUGGAUUGAUGGUUCUUGAUGGGUGGGAUUUGGUCGGUGACGUGAGUACAUUCAGAUGGGGUGAGGAUCUUCGCUGAAAGAAGAAGGAUGCCAAAGGCAACAGCCUUGCGCGGUGGCUGUGAGGUGGCUUCAAGUUUUGCUGUUUUUUUCUUUUUUCACUUGGUGGAAUUAAUGGAUAAGGAGGAAGGAUUUGAGUAUAGAAGACUAUUGAUGGUUAAGAAAGCUCUACUUAGAAUAGAUAAAGGCUCUGAUAGGCAGUGUGAAAGUAAUAUUAGAUCCCGUUCUAGUACGUUCUUGAAACUCAAGAAUAACUCUUAAGAGAGAAACCAUUGAAUUAAUAAUAAAAAUAAAUUCAAAGGGAAUAAUCUAAAAUAUUGUUGAUGAAAAGUGUAAAGGUGUUACAAUAAAUUAUUAAUAACAAGCCUAUUUGUACUAAUAACUAACUUAAUCCUAAUCAUUCUCAAAUAAUCUAAAUAAUCUAAAAUCUUAAUUAAACUAGAAUUACAAAUACCACUUAAAUAAGUAUAAAAAAAUAAGAUAAAUCUUAAUAAAAUACUAAAUAUUAAGUUGAUUCAAAAUUUAGAAUUCCUAAUUUAUUUGACCCUAUAUGCUUCAUACUUUAAUAUAACAGAAAUCAUGAAAUACUUUCUAAACUCAGUCAUUGACUAACCGUUGGCUAAAUUAUUGUGAAUAUGAGGAGAAUUUGGACUUGAAAUGAUAAUGGACUGUGUGAGGCGUUUCAGUUGUAAGUCUUUUGUUAGAGCAAUAUAGAUUGUCAUUUUUGUUUUCCAGUGAUUUGUUACUUGCCAUGUUGAUGCAAGAUUGAGUUGGUGUGCUGAUUCCAAAUUGGUACGCGACUCGUGUGGCUACUUGUGCUUUAUGUGUUGUGUUUGUUUGAAUUUCGCAGUGGUGGGCAUUGUAUCUUAACAUAAUGCAACAAGCUCAAUAGCCCAACAAUAUGAAGUAUUUAUUACUACACCUAUCUGUACAUAAAAUUGUUAUUUAUAAUGUACAAAUGGAUUCGAAUCCUUCUUAUUUUUUCUCUCUUUAUCUCUUCUUUUCUUCGUAAUCUGGUGGAAAAAAGCUAGCUUGAUUAUAAAUAAAUUAAAAAAAUAAAUAUAGAGGUAAGAGGAAAAUUAAAAAAUAAAGAGAAGAUCCUUAUCCAUUCAAAUAGAGCAGCAUUAAAUGGCAUUUUCGGUAAUGGAAGCUUGAACUUAAAGCCCAUCAGUCUCUAGUAUUUGUGUGAUCAUUGGGUUAAUCUGGGGAGAAAGCAAAAUAAAAACUAAAACAAGGACAAGAUAUAUGAUAAAUUAAUUUUUUAAUCUAAAUUGGAAAAUUUUGAUCAAUUGACCUUAGAGCCGGUGACCUUUUCAAAAUUUUUGCCAACAGUUCUAUAUGCUUAAAUGAAAAUGCUAUUGAUAAAAGAAACUAAAUUCCCAUUAAUUUUCCUUAAAAACAUUUUAAAUAAAAUCAUUCAUCAAAUCAUAAUGUUGAAAAAUUAAAGAAUUUUAGUGAAUAUAUAAAUUUAAAUGAAUUUUAGCUUCAUUAGAGUACUAGAAUGAAAAUGCAUGUCACCUAUUUUAAUAGUAUUUUGAGUUUUGUUUCUUUUAAAAGGGUUAGGCAAGAUCCCUUUAUUUGUAUAUUAAAAUAAAAAUGAAAAUAAAAACAUUUGGUAGACCAAAACCCGCAAGGUAAAAAAUAACCAACAAAAGAAAAAUAGCAAAAGUAAAUAAAAGAAAUAAAGAAUAAACAAGAGAACACCCUAAGGCAAACCUAAUAAAAUAAACCAUAUGAAGGUGAGCUAACUCUUAGAAUACCGUUUACUAUAGUACUUGCGUCCAAUGACUAACUAAAAGCGCUUUUUUGAACAUGAGGUAUGAGGCUAGUAACACUAAAGUCGGGGCUAAGAUCACAUUCCAUAGUACCCUCAAGCUUAGAUAAAAAGUAUUCAUUAGCUAUAAUGAGAAGGAAUAUCUAGAGAGUGGGAAUUGAAACCUAUAGCCAUUGCGCGAAUAUUAUCCACUGUAGCUUAGAAAACGUAGAGCCCAUGGAUAUCACCCAAAGCAUCCAAAAUCAUAUCAUCACCAUCAUUAGUCAUAUUAACUAGGAUCUGCAAAAAAUAAUCACCGCGAUCCCAAGGCUUAACAACUAGAUCAGACUGAAUAGGAAUGGCAAUAUCAUCAAUAAUAAGAUCAUUAGUAAAAAUUAGAAUUAGAAUGAGGCCACUUGGCCAACUAAAUCCACAUCAUCAUCUCGAGCAUCAGAAAUAGGGAUUCUAGCAUCUUGAAAUGCACUUGUAGUAACAUCGGGCCAUAAAGGCUGAACCACCCCACGAAAAAUAGGCUGCUAAGUCAAACCAGAAAAUUGUCCUUAAACAAAAGAAGGCUAAGCAAUAGGCCCCCCAUGUUGAUUAUCUACAACAACAACAUAUUGAGGAACAAUGAGAACCUAAGGCUGAACAUCUAUAACAGACAUAAAUUACUUACCUUUAUCUCUAGUAUCUUUACCCUGAGGUUUAUUAAUAGGUUGUUGGGGCUUUUGAAGCCCAUAAUUACUACGUAGCAACCAUUUACAUAAUGACCAAAAUGCUUAUACAAAAUACAAUAAGAAACAACCUAUUAAAAAAUCCUACUAAAAGUCAGAAUCACCCUCACUAAUCCAAAGGCAAGGUAAACAAUGUCACAAAACAUCAUUUUCUAUCAAAACUGUAGCAACUGAAGGCCUAUUAAUAGAACCAAUAGCAUGGUCAACACGUAACGUUUUCCCUAUCAUACCAACUACUAAACAUGAUGCUUCUUUGUAAUGAAUAAAGUGAAUAGGUAAAUACAACAAAGAAACCCAAAUAGAAACCACAAGGGAUUCCUUAGAACAAUAAAUGGCAGUGGGCCAUUUAAAGAUCCUCAUAGCUUUACGACUGAUAUAUCAUUUCUGCCCAACCCAAAUUUCGAGGAUAGUCUUCCUCUAACUGAAGCUUUCUUAAAACAUGUCAGUUAUCAAGCAAGGUACUUGAGUACUUCUUUUUAAGCCAAGGAGAUAAAAAAAUUCCUAAUCAUCUCCAUUGGAGGUGGCUAAAAGAGAACUUACCCACCAGAGACAGCUUGAAUGGUUUAGCCAUGGUCGAAACCUCAGCAACUAUAAAAUGAAUAGCAGGUUUGCCUCGAUGAAGGAUGCCCAUAUUAACAAAUAAAUAUAGGCAAUACGAACCUACAACAAUAUCAACAAAGGAUUUAGAGGGCCUAGAGGCAACAUUAGGGUCAAGGAUGGACACUAGAUUGACUGCAGAAGCAUAUAAUAACUUAGGGAUAGUAGAAGAGUAAUAGGUAGAAGGAUUUGUGCUGGUGGUCAAGCUUAGGUGGGCCCAUAAAUAGGUUGCACACUAUCAGUGUUUGUUUUGUCACGAUCUAAGGUUUGAGAUAGAUUGUGAGCAUGCAUUUGCAAAGAGGCAGUGGCUUGUUUGUGACUAAUGGUCAUUAAAGACAUUAGAGGCGGUUGGGCAGGGUCAAGAAGGGCUAAUCCAAUGAGGAAUGCAGCAGCUAUUGGUGAUUAAUGGCAAUGAUAGAAGGCAACAAAGUCAAUGGAAGCAAUUGUUGGUGAUGAGACGCAUGCGACUGGCUAGGGUUUGACGCACGCGUGUGUGAAAGAGACACGAUUAAUGGGACUUGGUAAGGGUGAUGGCUAUGAGGCAGUUGUAGGGUGGCAAAGAAGGGAUUAAAUUAUCACUAAGGGUGGUGGGGGGGGCGACGGCAUGAGAAGGAAAGCGAGCAAUGGUUGGCGACAUUGCAAGGCCAAAAACGGCAACCAAAAGGAGUUGUGUGUGGCGAAGGGCCUUCCGGCUAGUUGCAUGGUGGCCGGUGGUGAGGGGUGGUGCUGAUAGUGUCUUCUCGCCAUCACCAGUAGCCGGUAAGGCCAUACCAGCAACAAGAAAGUAAAAGGAGUGUGGUGGCUAUAUGAAUUGGGAUUUCAUCGUUUUAUCUUUUUUUUUGUGUAUCAAACUAUCUGUUGAGUUGUGUCCCACAUUGGCUAGUAAAGGGGAAAUACUUGGGUUUAUAUGAUGGUAGGUCACUCCACCUAAAAGGUUAGCCUUUUGGGUUGGAUACCUAGAAAUCUUAUGCUAAGUCCCCCCAACAAAUUGGUAUCAGAGCAGUCACUGCUUUCUUUAAUCUUGGAAAUGGGAUCAGCUAGGCUUGAGGUGGAAAAAUUCACAGGUGAAAAUGACUUUCACCUGUGGAGGCUCAAGAUAAGAGCUUUGCUGGUGCAUCAAGGUUUGGAUGAAGCUCUUGUUGAGGAAUCAUCUUCAAAGAAGCCAAGAAAGGUUUCUGUUGAAGAUCUACCUGAUGUGCUGAACAGAGCUCAUAGUGCUAUAAUCUUGAGCCUGGGUGAUGGAGUACUUAGAGAAGUUAGUGGUGAGAUGACAGCUGCAGGGUUAUGGAAGAAGCUUGAAGAUUUAUAUACCAAGAAAUCAAUGGCUAAGAGAUUAGCCACCAAGAAAAAGCUUUACACAUUACAAAUGGAAGAGGGAUCAUCGAUCACAGACCACAUUGAUGCCUUCAAUAAGAUCAUUCUUGAUCUUGAGGACAUAAAUGUAAAGAUUGAUGAUAAAGAUAAAGCAAUGAUCUUGCUGUGCUCAUUACCAAGCUCCUUGAACAUCUGGUUGACACACUAAUGUAUGGGAGGCAGACUCUUACAAUGGUAGAUGUGAAGGAAACUUUGAGCUCCAAGGCAGCUACAAAAAGGGAUUCAAGAGAGGCUGAAGGUUUAAUGGCAAGAGGGAGAUCUGAAAAGAAAGAGAGCAACAAGGGGAAGAAGAAAAGAUCCAAAUCCAGGUCCAAGAACAUGAAAUGCUUCGACUGCCACAAGGAAGGCCAUUUCAAGAAGGAUUACCCAGAAAAGAAAAAUAAGCCAAAAGAUACAAGGGAGAAAACUGGAGAUGCUGUUGUUGCUUCAGAAAGUCAAGAAUAUGAUGGAUAUGACUCAGCUGGAGUUCUACUUGUGACUGAUGACCAAACCAGAGGUAAUUGGGUUCUAGAUUCUGGUUGCUCCUUUCAUAUGUGCCCAAAUAAAAAUUUGUUCCUUAACUAUGAAGCCUAUGAUGGAGGAGUAGUAGUAAUGGGAAAUGAUGCAAUCUGUAAGGUAGUUGGGAAGGGCAUAAUAAGACUAAAAAUGUUAGAUGGUAUGACCAGGGAGUUAGCUAAUGUAAGACAUGUACCUGACCUGAAGAGGAAUCUAAUCUCCUUAGGCAUGCUAGAUAAAAUGGGUUGUCUUGUUAAGCUGGAAUCAGGUACCUUAAAGGUGAUGAGAGGGUCAAUGGUAUUAAUGAAGGGAAGUUUAAGCAAUGGCCUGUAUGUGCUUCAAGGUACAGCAGUUACAGGGGCUGUUGGGGUCUCAAACCAGAGUCUAGAUAAAACAAUGAUGGGGCAUUUAAGGUUAGGUCAUAUGAGUGAAAGAGGGCUGAGGGAACUGUCAAAGCAGGGAGUCUUAGGGAAGGACAAAAUAGAGACUUUGAGGUUUUGUGAAGAAUGUGUAUUAGGCAAGUCUUCAAGAGUAAAAUUCAGUACUGGAGUCCAUAACUCAAAGGGAACCCUAGACUAUAUCCAUGCUGAUCUGUGGGGACCUGCACAGACAGCAUCCUUAGGUGGAGCUAGAUACUUCAUGUCUCUAAUAGAUGAAUUUUCAAGGAUGGUGUGUGCUUAUGUGUUAAAGAACAAAGAUGAUGCUUUUGAGAAAUUCAAAAUCUGGAAGACCUUGGUUGAAACACAAACCAACAGAAAAGUUAGAAGGUUGAGAACUGACAAUGGGUUAGAGUUUUGCAACAAAAGGUUUGAUGAUUUUUGUGCUGAAAAUGGGGUUGUGAGGCACAAAACAGUGAGACAUACACCUCAGCAAAAUGGAUUAACUGAGAGGAUGAAUAGAACCUUGAUUGAUAAGGUAAGGUGCAUGCUUAUUCAAUCAAGGCUACCUAUGUCAUUAUGGGCAGAGACCCUAUCCACUGCCUGUUACAUUGUUAACAGGAGUCCAUCUUCUGGAAUCAACUUCAGAACUCCAAUUGAGCUUUGGACAGGUAAGCCAGCUAACUAUUCAAACUUGAGGGUGUUUGGAUGCCCUGCAUAUGCUCACACAAAGCAAGGGAAACUGGAACCUAGAGCUCUUAAGGGUGUGUUAUUGGCUAUCCAGAAGGGGUAAAGAGAUAUAAACUUUGGUGCACUGAUUUCAAGCCACCAAAAGCCAUAAUCAGCAGAGAUGUGGUCUUCAAUGAAGCUGAAGUGUGCAAACACUUAGAAGCCUCAAAGACUGAAUCCAACCACCACAUGAGUGAGAACCACAAGUCUCAGUUUGAGGUGGAGUCAUCAACUACAGCUGCAAAAAGGAGGACCAUUGUUAAAUCAGAAUCUGAAGCUGAGAAUAAUAUGUCUGAAUCAGAAGCUGAAUCUGAAGAUGAUCAAGGUGACAGGAGUUAUAAACUUGUAAGAGACAGGGAAAGAAGGGUUAUAAGACCACCUAAGAGAUAUGCACAUGCAGACCUGAUUGCAUUUGCAUUAACAGCAGCACAUGAACUUGACACAGAUGAACCAAAAACAUACUCAGAAGCUGUAAGAGGAAAUGAAUCAGAAAAAUAGAAGGCUGCUAUGGAUGAGGAGAUGCAGUCACUGUUCAAGAAUCACACUUGGACUUUAAUUGAAAAACCACCAAAUAAGAAGGUAGUUGGCUGUAAGUGGGCUUACAAGAUUAAAGAAGGUAUACCAGAAGUUGAGCCAAAUAGAUACAAAGCCAGGCUUGUAGCCAAAGGCUUCACACAAAAGGAAGGUGUAGAUUAUACAGAAAUCUUCUCUCCUGUAGUAAGGCAUACCUCCUUAAGGAUCUUGCUAGCACUGGUAGUAGUAAAUAACAUGCAUCUUGAGCAGAUGGAUGUUAAGACUGCUUUUCUUCAUGGUGAGUUGAAUGAAAUGAUUGUGAUGAAACAACCAGAAGGAUAUGUAGAUCCUAGAAGAUCUGAUCAUGUGUGUCAUCUCAGAAAAUCCUUAUAUGGGCUUAAGCAAUCUCCAAGACAAUGGUACUUGAGGUUUGACAAGUUUAUGCAUGAAAACAGUUUUCAGAGGUGUUCCUUUGAUUGUUGUGUGUAUCAUAAGGAUAUGGGAGAUGACAAAGAAAUUUAUUUGUUGCUAUAUGUUGAUGACAUGCUGAUAGCAUGUAAACAUAUGAAUAAGAUAAAUAAACUAAAACAGCAGCUGAGGGGUUCAUUUGAUAUGAAUGAUCUUGGUGAGGCCAAGAAGAUCCUUGGUGUUGAGUUGAUUAGAGAUAGAAGGAAUGGCACCCUGAUUCUAUCACAGCAGAAUUACAUCAGAAAAGUGCUUGAGAGGUUUGAAAUGGGAAAAGCCAAGCCAGUUCAGACUCCACUACCAGCUCAUUUCAUAUUGUCAUCACAACAGUGUCCAAAAACUGAUGCUGAAAGAUCUGAAGCUAGCUCAAUUCUAUAUUCAAGUGCAGUAGGGUGUCUGAUGUAUGCAAUGGUCUUGACCAGACCUGAUUUGUCCUAUGCAGUGAGUGUAGUAAGUAGAUAUAUGGCAAAUCCAGGGAAAGAACAUUGGAAGGCUGUGAUGUGGAUUUUGAGGUACCUUAAUGGCACCAUAAACUAUGGUUUGAUAUAUGGAACUGAUGGAAGGAAUGAGAUCAAUGUAGAAGGCUUUAUAGAUUCUGACUAUGCUGGAGACCUUGAUAAGAGGAGAUCAUUGACUGGAUAUCUGUUCAGACUGAGUGGGUGCACUAUAAGCUAGAAAGCUUCUUUGCAGAAUGUUGUUGCUUUGUCAACAACUGAAGCCGAGUACACUGCUGCAGCAGAUGCAAUUAAAGAAGCUAUUUGGCUUAAAGGAAUGGUGACUGACCUGGGGUAUGAACAGAGGCAAAUAACAGUUCAUUGUGAUAGUCAAAGUGCUAUCUGUUUAAGCAAAAAUCAGAUACACCAUGAGAAGACCAAACACAUUGACAUCAAGCUUCAUUUUGUCAGCCUGGAAGUGUCUAAAGGAGUGGUAAAACUGGUGAAAAUACACAUUGAUGACAAUGUGGCAGAUAUGUUAACCAAAGCUCUACCUGGUGCCAAGUUUGAGUUCUGUGUGAACUCAGCUGGUGUCUGCAGGAUCUAAGCUGCAGGGGAAAUGGUGAUGGAGAAGAAAGAGGAGUAACAGAUUUGGUUCAAGGUGGAGAAUGUUGAGAAGUGAACUGCAAAUCUGAAGUUUGUAGUUGAGAACGACAUAUCAGUCUUGCGUUUCAGGACUGGAUGAUAUGUCGGUUUUGUGUCACAAAUGAGACGUAUGACAAGCCUGGAGCAUCAGCCAAAUGAAUAAGUUAAGCACGUGAUGUUGCACAUGCUUUACUUACUCUAAACGACUAAAGAAGGCUGCGUUUUGGAUGAAGCUUCUACACGUGUAUUGAAGCCAGUUUGAAAGGCUGUUAAUGCUGUUAAGAUCAGUGGGAAAUUUCUGGGUUUUGUGAGCAACAAACCCAGGUCUGGUGAGCUGGCUUCUGGGGGUUGUUUCUAGAGCAAUUCAGGCGUGUAUAUAAGUGGUAUUCAUUUCAUUGUUGAGUAGUUGAAGUGCGUGAUAGUUUUCUAAGGAAUAUUGUAUCUUGAGUACACUGAAUCAGUAAAGGCUCUUUCUCUCUUUCACAGUGGAUGUAGGUCACUUCGUGACUGAACCACUUAACCCCUUUUGUGUUUCUUUUGUUUGAUAUCUGUUGAUUUCGAUAAAUAGUUCCACGUAGCAUUAGUUGUUCUUGUUUAGUUCUUUGAUUAAAGCUAAGUCGAGUGGAUCUUGGGGGAUUAAGAUUGGUUAUUUGCUGACCUUGGUCCAACAAAUUGGUAUCAGAGCUAGACCCUAGUAGCCGGAAUGUGGUGGUGGAACAACUCAUGUAUGUCGGACGAUAGGACCGGAGUCCGGCGGUGGUUUUGUCCGAGGGGGGGAUUGUUGAGUUGUGUCCCACAUUGGCUAGUAAAGGGGAAAUACUUGGGUUUAUAAGAUGGUAGGUCACUCCACCUAAAAGGUUAACCUUUUAAGUUGGAUACCCAGAAAUCUUAUGCUAAGUCCCCCCAACACUAUCUGGUAUCUAAUGAGCAGAUAAUAUAUACAUAUUUUUACACUUAAUUAUAUGAUUGCUACUUAUUUUUAUUUGUUAUUUUUAAUUAAUUGAAUUAUUUUGUUGAAUAAGGAAUUAAUUGGAGAUUAUGGAGAAAAAAAGGCAUGAAAAAAUUUAAUUUAGGAAAUAAUGAAGAUUAGAUUGGAAGCCAAAAAAACCAAAAGCGGAAGUCAAUUUCUUCAAAUAGUGAAUAGUGGACAUGCAUUUAGAAAACAAAGAUUUGGUGAUGGCAAUUGCACAUGCAUGGUUUUAAAAUUUUGGAAAGCAAUUUAAAGGAACCCGUGAGCUUCCAAUUUAAAAAAGGGGAAACAAACUUAUGGCUUAUGGUGUUGACAAGUAAUGGUGGCAUUAAUUGGGAAAAUUGACUUUAGAAUGGAAAUUGAAUCCAAAUUGGAUCCAGCCAAUAAAGUGUACGGGAUUUGACCAAUAAUUGCAUGGUCCUGGGCAUUGUAUAAUGGUAAGCUAGAAACUAAAAAAAAGGACGCAAGGAGAGACACGAGACAAAGAGAAGAGAAGGGCUGCAGCAAUUUAAUUCUUCAUGGCUGGUUUUAUUUAUUUUGUUACUCUCAAUUCAAGUAUAUUUAACUAAUUUUCUUAUACUAAGGUUAAAGAUGAAAUCAUAUUCAAUGAAAUAAUUAUCUUUAUAUUCAAUUAAUUUCCUACAUAUGUGCUUUAAUGCUUAUGGUUCUUAUUUCACAUGAUUAGUUAGAUGUUAUUAAAUCUUUUCAUCAAUUCUGUCAUGCAUUAUUGAUUGCUAGGAUUAAUAUUUGAUUAAAUUUAUUCUUGGAUUUAUAAAGCUUAUAUAUGAUUAUCUUUGAUUCUGAGUUUUUCAUUAAAUUGUUUCAACAUAGUGCUCAGGAAGAUUUUGACUAUUUGUUAUAGAAUAUGCUUACAUAGGAUGCUUAGAUAUCAUACUAUUAAGCAGAAAACGAACCUACACAAGAUUAAUUUUAAUUGGUCUUAUUUGUUUUAUUCAUGAGAUGACAUAGAUUGAUUUCGAGUUGUCACUCUAAAACUGGGGAUUAAUUAACAAUUAGAUAACUACUAGUUGGAUAGUGGUGGAUUCUGAAACCUUAGUAAUUUUUGUCUUAUUGAAUUCUCAUUUACUUUAAUUGUUUUCUUAUUUUAAUUAGCUUUAUUUCUAUUAAAAACUUAAUUUGCUCAACUAGGUUAGGAUUAAUAUUUUUUUUUUUAUUAAGAGGGGCUCUUUAAAGAGCUAAGAAAUAACAAGGCGGGGAUAAGCUACCCCGUAAAUGUCUUGAGACAUAAAUUGGAGCACCCCUUUAGGUGGAGAGUUAAAAACAUGUAGUCCUAACGGGAGAGAACAAGCUAACGUAGCCAAACAAUCCGCGGCAAAAUUCGCCUCCCUGUAAACGUGAGUAAUCUCCACCCGCCAAUUGCGUCUGAUGAGUUCUUGAAUAGCACGAAUGAGAGGAGAGAACUCAUUGUAAUUCACCAUGUUGUCCUUCACAAGCUGAGUAACACAGCGACUAUCAAUUUCAGCAUACAGCCACCGGAUCCCUUUAUUCCACGCAAGAAGUAAUCCUUGAUAUAGCCCCCAUAAUUCCGCCAUAGUCACUGAGCAAGUCCCUAGAUACAUCCCAAAGCCAGCAACCCAAUGACCAUUGUGAUCGCGAAUCAGACCCCCUGCAGCAGCUACACCAGUCACCUUACAGGCACCAUCUGAGUUCAACUUGCACCAUGGCCAAUUUGGAAGCGACCAACCAAUCCAUUUGUUGACUUUUCUAUUUGUUGAAUUCAAAGAAGAUCCUUGAAGCCAGAUCACCUCCUCCGUGCGAGCCUUGACAUCAUUAACCAUGGAUAAGCCGUCCAUGGAUUGACCGUUCACCCAGAACUGGUUCCGCCAAUACCAUAAACGCCAUAUCGCUAUACCAAAGAAACAAAUCCAGUUUCGGACUCCAUAAAUAGGCCAUGUAUUCUGAAGAUUAUUCAUCAUCCAUUCUUUAAAAGAAGCUUGGAAGAAUCGCUGCCUCAUUUCUACUGGAAUUACCCGAUACCAAAAACCUUUCGUAGCCAUGCAAUCUCUUAGAACAUGCAAGAUGUCCUCAACCGGGGCCCCACAUCUAUCACACUCAGUAUUUAUCAACAUGUGCCGCCUUGCAAUUUCAGCUUUGGUUUUCAGCCGACCAUGAAGAGCUAACCAAAUGAAGACUUUAACUCCCUGCGGGCCUUGCCACUUCCAAGCCAACUUCCAACUAUUAUCCUGUAAAAGAUUAUCCGGAGGACUGAUGGCAUAAUAAGCUGAGGAGACCGAGAAAUUCCCCUUAUUAGAAUGCGACCAAUAGAAUUGAUCCGGACCUAUCAAAACUGAGGGUGGAAGAAUUGACGCAAUCUUCAUGAUGGCAGUGUUAGGAAGAAAUUGAUCGAAUAACGCCCAGUUCCAUAGCCCAUUCACUGCCACACAAUCAGCAACCAUUAGAUGAGUUAGAUGAUCAGGAAUAGGAGAAAUGACCUGACUCGCAAGGGACUUAUCCUUAUAAACCCAGCAGUCCCACCAGAACCGGAUUCUUUUACCAUCACCAACAGACCAGCACACACUCGACAUCGUAUCUCGCCAUAUCUUACCAAUAGCUUUCCACAUAUGAGAUCCAUACCGAGUCGGCAAUGAAAGAGGGGGGUUUGAAAUAUUGACCCCAUAUUUAGUACACAGGACCCGAACCCAUAGGCUAUCCUUUGCUGAGAUGACUCCCCAACUGAGCUUCAUUAAGAGUGCUUUAUUCAUCACAUUUAGAUCCUUAAGUCCUAGUCCUCCAUAAGCCUUUGGUUUGCACAAAGUAUCCCAGCUAACCAUACUCAUCCGUUGCUGAUUGGAAUUUCCACUCCAUAUGAAUUUCCUGCACGCCUUAUCAAUCUUCAGUUUAAUUCCAGUGGGGAGGCUAGUUGUUUGCAUUGCGUAAACCGGGAUAGCUUGUAAGACCGUCUGUGCAAGAGUUAUUCUGCCAGCCAAAGACAGCAGAGACGCAUGCCAACCCGAAAGGCGCUUUUCAACUUUGUCAAUAAUAUUCUGAUAUGUAUGCUGCGAGACACGAGUAUGCAGCAGCGGCAUCCCAAGGUACAUGCCCAAAUCCUUGGUGACCGGGAACCCAAGUUCAGCCCCAAUUCUUUUCAUGCUCCGAGCCGAAAUAUUCUUGGAGAAGAAAACUUGAGAUUUAGUCUUGUUAACUUUGGCUUCUGAGCUCUGGCAAAAAGUAUUCAAGACCAUAUUUAUCACCCCCGCUUGCUCGACAUUUGCUUCAGCCAAGAGUAGGAGAUCAUCAGCAAAAAAUAAGUGAGUUAGAGGAGUACCACGACGAGUAAGUCAAAUCGGCUGCCACUCCCCAGUAGUGACAGCUCUAUCAAUCCCAUGGCUGAGUCUCUCUACACAUAGAACAAAAAUAUACGGGGAAAGAGGGUCUCCUUGUCGUAUACCUCGAGAGGGAACGAACUCAUCAGACGCUUCACCAUUCCAUAAUACUUUCAUUGUAGCCGAAGUAAUACAUUCCAUAAUGAGCUGAAUCAUAUCUCUAGGCAGUCUCGUGUCCUGCAGCGUCUCAUAAAUAAACUCCCAGUUAAGUCUAUCAUACGCCUUUUCAAGGUCUACUUUAAUCGCCAUGAAUCCUUUCUUCCCCGUUUUCUUACGCAUGGAAUGAAUAACUUCUUGGGCAAUCACAAUAUUAUCAAUGAUAUGACGGCCAGGAACAAAACUAGUCUGCUGAGGACCAAUAAGAAUCGGCAUUAGUGCCUGCAGUCUGUUAGCCACAAUUUUAGAAAUGGUUUUGUAUGCCACUGUGCAUAAACUAAUCGGGUGAUACAUUUUUAGAUUCACCGGAUGAUCAACCUUUGGGAUGAGAACUAAAAGCGUAGUGUUAAUUUCCUUAGGAAUACUGCCACUGCUGAAGCUAUGCUUUAUAAAUUUACAGAAUGAGUGUCCAACGAUAUGCCAUUGGGUCUGGUAGAAUAUCGCGUGAAGGCCAUCCACGCCAGGGGCCUUUAGUGGCUUCAUGCUGAAAAUAGUCUGCCGGAUUUCAUUAUCCUCAAUGGGAGCACUGAGCCCUUGAGUGAGAACUGCAUCAAGAAUAGGGAAGCAGCCCCUAAUCGGGUACGGUCGAAAGGCCAAAGUCUCACUAGUGUAAAGAUCCGAGAAGAAAAACGUGGCAUGCUGCUUAAUAAUUUCGUUAUCCACAAGCCAUUCCCCAUUAUCAUUCUGAAUAGUUGUGAUUCGAUUUCUUCUACGUCUGGCCAACGUUUUUUGGUGGAAAUAAGCCGUAUUUCUAUCCCCUUGGGCAAGCCAAUCUUUGCGAGAUUUUUGAAGCCACAAAAUCUCCUCUUGUGUAAGAAUUUCCUCUAACUCCUUCUUCAGCUUGAGCUCUAACUUGACCAAGCUUCGUCGAUUGGUGUUUUCUAACACCUUUUGAAUCCCCCCCAGACGUUCUAGGAUCCACCGCUUCCUCUGAAAUAUAUUCCCAAAAUGGUCUCUGUUCCAAACCAAAGCCUUCUUCACAAAAAUAUCAGCCGCAUUUAAGUACGGCAAACUAUUAAUCCAUGCAUUAGAGACAAACUCACCAAAGGAAUUAUCUGUAAGCCAUGCAGCCAAGAAACGGAAAGGUUUUUGUCCCCUAGCACUGCUGGCUUCAUUACUAAAACGAACUAAGAUGGGUCUAUGAUCUGAAGAAAUCUUUGGCAAGUGUAAAACUGCAUUGUCUGGAUACUUGUUUAGCCAUUCUGUGUUAGAAAUAGCUCUGUCCAGCCUCUUCAUAAGGAGUCCACGAGACCAAGUGUAACGGGGUCCAUGGAAAUUUAAAUCAAACAUUCCAUUCUGAUUAAACCAACCCUUAAACAGACCACAAACCCCAGAAGUAUGUGUAGAGCCACAUCUCUUCUCAUCAGCACAUAGAAUGGAAUUAAAAUCACCUCCCACCAGCCACGGACCAUGAACGGUUUUAGCCAAGAAAUCAAGGUGGUCCCACAGCUGCCUUCGCAAACUAGGAGUAGGGCUCGCGUACACCGCUGUGAUCCAAGAUUCAAGAAUGUUAUUCUUUGAAAUUUUGAAAUGGACGAAUUGCUUGUGGUUAAACGAGACUUCCACUUCAUAAUAACCCCGCCAUAGGAUCCAGAUUCCACCAGAAAAACCCGAAGCUUCAAUACGAUGAGAAUAAUCAAAUCCGCUGCAUUUAAUAAAAUCAUCGGCUUGCUUCCCGCUAAUUCUAGGUUCCAUUAUAAUAACCAUAGAAGGACCAUAAUUUUUAAUAAGGGUAUUAAAAGAGCGACGAAAGCCCUUCGAAGCCGCCCCCUGAACAUUCCAAAAUAGAAUUUGUAUCUUCAUAAGAUAAAGCUUGGAGAAAAGUAUAGACUUACUGCAGUGGCCGAGAUGCCUCUUCCGCUAGGUCCAUGGCCGUUUCUUCAACAAGUGACACAUCACCUUCUGAAGAGUUAGCCCCGUCCUCACUUGUAGCCACAUAAUCACUAUCAUUUGCGUCGUCUUCCAUGUCCAUGUUUGCAACCAAGCCAUUGGAGUUAGAAGGAUCACCGUCCAAUUCUGACAGAGGAAUAUGCCCACCAGCACUGUUGUGGCCAUUGAAGAUUUUUGGCUGGACUUCAGCCAUGAGAAGAGGUGCAGUGGCAUUAUCAGCAGAGAAAGAGAUGGCCGAGUGAUGGAGGGGAUUUAAACUGGUAGGGACGUACACGGGUAAAGGUAAAGGAUUGGGGCUUGCAUGGCUUGCAUGGAGAUUGGUAAAACCUCGUGAGACAUGUGUGUGAACAGGACUUUGAGGAGUUGUAUUUUCUUUAGUAAGAGAUGUCGCAUGCCUUCCAAUAGAUGUAUCCAUGUGUCCCAGAUCUGUGGGGUUAGCUGAUUGGUGGCCAUUUCUCCUUCUAAUGGGUCUAUUUUUUGACGACCAAGUAGGGCUAGAAUUUAUCGUAUUAAUAUCUCUAUGUGUCCGUUCCAUAAGGGCUUCCUGUUUUUCCUCGUGGUUGGAUUCCUCUUCUUCGAGAUUAGCUAAGAUAUUGAAACGUGAUUCCUUCCCAUACUUCCCCCGAAAAACUUGCUCAGUUGCCUGAUUGGAAUUGCUUUCCUUCUCCAUUCUCAACUUUCCUUUACGAGCCACUACCAUCCAUGGCCCGAAUUUUGGCUCAUGUUGGCUAUCAUGUCCGGCCUUACUCGUCCACUGCUGCUCCGCCGGAUCAGCAGGGGUAAGCACGUCGUCCUCAGUCAGCCCAUUCUUUUCCUUAUCUGAGCAGCUUUCCAUAUAAUGUCCGUACUUCCCACAGUGAAAACAAAUAACCGGAAGAUUCUCAUAUUCAACUCUCUGCACUUUACCAUCCAGCUGAAACUGUGAAAUCAGAGGUCUCUUAAGGUCUAUUUCCACAGCAAUACGAGCGAAUUUACCCCUCUGUGCAGAUUCUGUAUUAUAGUCAAUGCGGAUAACUGAGCCAAUGAUUUGCCCAAGUCGUCGAAGUAUUUUCUUGUGAUAAUAAUGCAGAGCCAUGCCCGGGAGACGAAUCCAAGCCACCACUUUAUCUAUCUCCCCUUUAGAACUAUCAAAGUGUGGUGACCAUGGUUGCACCGUCAGAUAGUGUCCCAUAAUAGUCCAAGGUCCAGAGGUUAAAGCAUAAUCCGCAUCUCCUUCAUUCUUGAAACGGACCAAAUAAAAAUCAUUUUCUAGAUCAAUGAUAUUAAAUCCCGGCGUCAUAUUCCACAGCGACUCUAAUCUGUUACACAAAGCCCGAUAUCCUAUGCGGCGACCCAACAGUUUCACCACGACUGUAUUCUUCCAAGGCUUGAUUAACUGCUCAUGCACUUUCGGUGAGAAAGUUAUAGAGGGCAUAGAUUCAGUAUUUUUAAAAAGCACAUCCUCCGGAUUUAAGUCUAAAUCUUCGUCGCAGCCAAACAACUCUUCCUCUGUGUCCUUUUGUGACUUCAUCAAUUGAUCUCGAAAGGAGGGGCGCUCAGAAUUAUCACCAACAUCACUUUGUGCCCGAAACUUUGCCUUCUUGGUGGAACGAUCCUCAGCCAUGGGGGGGGAGGGGUUUUCUCAAAGCUUUCCAUGUUUUUCGGAGCGCUUCUCGACUUAGGUUAGGAUUAAUAUUAAUUUUGAAUUUAAAUUAGACUUUUCAAUUUAUAGCAAUCUCUGUGGGUUCGACCUCGUUAUCACUAUUGUAUUUCUAGAUUCGUGCACUUGCGAGUAUAUUAAAGUUUUUCACAACAGUAUCUGAAGACCACGUUGAGCUCCAAUUAAUACAUAUUCGAGCCGGGUAGGACCACUAGGGCGGCAAAACUCUCCCAAUAAAUAUUUAACGCAGCUGCAUUCCUAAGUCUCAAACCGAAAACCUUUAAAUCUACGCGCUUGUUAGUUUCAUCUUUUUAUCUCUUACAGUUCUGCUAUGCAUGCUCACCUAGGGAAUGAUUGAUUGAGACAUUCAAUUUGAUAUUUAAAAGUCUAACCAAAGAGUAUUUUGAGCUUGAGUUUUACCUCAACGAACCAUUUCCAUAGAUUCAUAAGUUUGUCCUUAUUACAUACAUAUGAGUCUUUUACUACAACGUCCAAGUUUGUUCAACCAUUUAGGUACAAUAUAAUAUGGAAAAAAUAAUAAUCUUAUUCAAAUAACGACACACUUAAGAUUUUAAAUGAAAAUAACUCAAUUAAUUUAUUGGUCAGAAAUUUUAUUUAUUACAAAUAAAAAGUAUGCUUUAAAAAGCAUAGAUCCAUAAUACAAUUUAUUUACUGCUUUGGUUAAUGCUUCCAAUGCUGGAGGCCUCCCAUUAUAGAUUUAAACAACGAGAACUUUAACCAGCAGCUGUGUUUACUUAAAAUGAACAAGAAGGUUACUCACAUGAGUAAAGAUGAAGAGAGAGCCGAGGUUUACUAGGGACAACAACAAGUGGGAUUUUUCUAGGCAUUGUCAGUCCAAAUCUGUCCUCCAUAUCCAAAUCCUCAUUCUUCAUAUCACCUGGUAAUUUCCAUUCAAAACCAUGUAAAAGAUUUGCCAAAGUUGACUGAACAACCUUAAGCCCUAGACCAUAACCCGGGCACAUCCUCCUCCCAGAUCCAAAUGGCAGCAGUUGAAAAUCAUGUCCUUUAACAUCAAUAUUUUUACCGAUGAAUCUGUGAGGCCUAAAUUCAUUAGGCUUUUCCCACAUGGUUGGAUCUCUUCCUAUUGCCCAUACAUUAACAACCACACGAGUGUUUCUUAGAAUGUCAUAGCCAGCAACUCUGCAAUCAUCUCUAGCAACCCGAGGAACAAGCAAUGGUGCCACAGGGUGGAGACGCAUCGUUUCUUUAACAAGUGCUUCUAUAUAUGGAAGGUUAACAAUGUCCUUUUCUUCCACCCAUCUGUCUCUUCCAAUCACUCUAUCUAGUUCUUCAGUCGCCUUUUGAAUAGCUUCUGGAUUUUUCAAGAGCUCUGACAUUGCCCAUUCCACGCUGAUUGCCGAUGUGUCAGUUCCAGCAGUUAAUAGAUCCUAAGAAUCAAAAUGAAAAACGAAUUAUGAUGAUACAGAUUUUCAAUACAGAAGACACCUUGAUAGUUGCAUUAUUUGGUGAUGUUUAAAUUACUCUGUGGGGAAACUAUUGCCUCAAUCAUUUAAAAACCAAAAUUGCACAUAUCAAUUUAGUCCGUUAUACUUAAAAGGGUUAAUUUCCAUUAAUCACUAGAUAAAUUGGUAUAUUUUAAUUUAUCCCCAUGCUGUUAAAAACAUCAAUAUAGCCCUCAUUUAUCAGUACACGAGAAUGAAAUUCUUUCUCGAUCCUUUUGGUUCUCAAUAGUAAACCAUGAGAAAGGGUUAUUAUUUUCAAAAGAUUUGGAAAAUAAAUUGAAAUAUGUCAUACUUGAAAACUACUAUUUAGUUUUUUUUAAAAAGUACACGAAUUAAAUUCAAAUUUAU